rnacentral:rRNA from 1 species
AUGGCUUUCCUUGUGGAGAGGUGCGGGGAGAUGGUGGUGUCCAUGGAGAUGGGCUCGGGGGCGGCGGGGGCGCACGGUGCCGGCGGCGUUGCUGGGAAGCCGGUGCCGGCGCCGUUCCUGACCAAGACGUACCAGCUGGUGGACGACCCCUGCACCGACCACAUCGUGUCGUGGGGGGAGGACGACGCCACCUUCGUCGUCUGGAGGCCGCCCGAGUUCGCCCGGGACCUCCUCCCCAACUACUUCAAGCACAACAACUUCUCCAGCUUCGUCAGGCAGCUCAACACCUAUGGAUUCAGGAAGAUAGUGGCCGACAGAUGGGAGUUCGCCAAUGAGUUCUUCAGGAAGGGAGCAAAGCACCUCCUCGCUGAGAUCCACCGGAGGAAGUCGUCGCAGCCGCCUCCGCCGUCAAUGGUGCCGCACCAGGCCGCGUACCACCACCACUACCACCUCGGCAACACCUUCUCGCCACCGCCGCCUCCACCGCCGGCGGCUCAUCAUCACCAUCACCCGGUGUACCAGCACUUCCAAGAAGAGCCAGCGGCCGCGGCCACGUCGCACGGCGGAGGCAACGGCGGCGGCGACUUCCUGGCGGCGCUGUCGGAGGACAACCGCCAGCUGCGGCGGCGCAACUCGCUGCUGCUGUCGGAGCUGGCGCACAUGAAGAAGCUCUACAACGACAUCAUCUACUUCCUGCAGAACCACGUGGCGCCCGUCACGAGCCCCUCGUCGGCCGCGUUGCAGCGGCACCCGCCGCUCCCCGGCGCCGGCGCGGGGGUCGCCGCGUCCAACUCGUGCAGGCUGCUGGAGCUGGACAUGGACGUGGACCGGGACUCGCCGGCGGCUGAGGAGGACGACACGGUGAAGCUGUUCGGCGUGGCGCUGCACCACGGCAAGAAGAAGCGGGCGCACCGCGAGGAGCGCGGUGACGUCGUCGCCCAUGAUCUCGGAAGCGAGGUCUAG